rnacentral:lncRNA from 12 species
AACUUCUUUCUAUAAAAAUGUUACUCUAAACUUAGUGUUAUUUAUUCUUUCCUCACAGAUACUAUACUUGCCUGGGAGGUUCCUUGGGAACUGCUUAAAGCAGCAUUUUCUCUUUGGAAGUUUUCUGUGUUCUAAUGCUGAUGACAAGAAACAGACAAGUUAUACUUUCAAAGACAUGAGGUACCUGUGGAGUCUAAGAAGACUAGAUGAUUCUG